UAGGGUCAAAUCGCGUUGAAAACAGCGGUUCUCGUUCGAUCACUGCAGUUAAGCAGUGUCGAAACCGGUCAGUACUUAGUUGGGGUACCGCUUGCGAACCCCGGGUACUGG